rnacentral:misc_RNA from 1 species
GUGUAUAAGAGACAGGUGAGUCAUCGAAUCUUUGAACGCACAUUGCGCCCCCUGGCAUUCCGGGGGGCAUGCCUGUUCGAGCGUCAUUACACCAAUCAAGCCUGGCUUGGUAUUGGGCGACGGGGCCGUCACACGCCCCGCGCCCCAAUGACUCCCCGGCGGGACGGACUGUAUCUCAGCGUUGUGCAAAUGUCGCUGGCGAUUUACGGGACGGCCGUGCCGUGAAAACCUCAUUUUAUCAGGUUGACCUCGGAUCAGGUAGGGAUACCCGCUGAACUUAAGCAUAUCAAUAAGCGGAGG